rnacentral:rRNA from 1 species
UUCAAGAAGAAGCUUAGACCUGAUGGUACGAUUGGAAAGUACAAGGCACGGCUUGUGGCCAAGGGUUAUACCCAGAAAGAAGGUGAAGACUUCUUUGAUACUUACUCACCCGUGGCUAGACUGACCACAAUUCGGGUGCUACUAUCACUGGCUGCCUCACAUGGUCUUCUCGUUCAUCAAAUGGACGUUAAGACGACUUUCCUCAAUGGAGAGUUGAAGGAGGAAAUUUACAUGGAUCAGCCAGAUGGUUUUGUAGUACCUGGUCAGGAAGGAAAGGUGUGCAAGUUAUUAAAGUCUUUAUAUGGCCUUAAACAAGCUCCUAAGGAGUUCCAUGAGAAGUUCGAAAGAACAUUAACUGCUGCCGGCUUUGUAGUAAACGAUGGUGACAAGUGCGUGUACUAUCGCUAUGGUGGGGGCGAAGGAGUUAUUCUUUGUCUGUAUGUCGACGACAUAUUGAUCUUUGGAACCAAACUUGAUUUAAUCAAGGAGGUUAAGGAUUUCUUAUCUCGCUGUUUUGAGAUGAAGGAUCUAGGAGUAGCUGAUGUUAUCUUAAACAUCAAGCUGUUGAGAGAUGAGAAUGGUGGGAACACACUGCUUCAGUCUCAUUAUGUGGAAAAGAUUAAGGCCACAAGUGAUUAUGUUUUUACACUUGGUGGUGGUGCUGUUUCCUGGAAGUCUUGCAAGCAGACCAUCUUAACGAGGUCAACUAUGGAAGCAGAACUCACAGCAUUAGACACUACCACUGUUGAAGCAGAGUGGCUUCGUGAACUCUUGAUGGACUUACCUAUGGUUGAAAAACCAAUACCCCCUAUCCUGAUGAACUAUGAUAAUCAAACUGUGAUCGUUAAGAUAAACAGUUCUAAGGACAAUAUGAAGUCCUCAAGGCAUGUGAAGAGGAGACUAAAAUCUGUCAGAAAAUUGAGGAACUCCGGAGUUAUUACGUUGGAUUAUAUCCAAACGUCGAAAAACAUGGCAGAUCCCUUCACAAAGGGUCUAUCACGUAAUGUGAUAGAUAAUGCAUCGAUGGAGAUGGGUUUGAGACCCACC